rnacentral:rRNA from 1 species
UCUUCGGAGAGUUUGAUCCUGGCUCAGGAUGAACGCUGGCGGCGUGCCUAAUACAUGCAAGUCGAGCGAACUGA